rnacentral:rRNA from 1 species
CAAAAAGCGUUAAAGCUUGACCAAUUUUAUUAAUAAAUCUCACAAAUUUAUGUAAACCCACACCCAAUACUGAACAACUCCAUAAAAAUAUGGAAAAUAUUAUGCUGGAACUAGUAACAAGAAUUUAAUAUUCUCCACAAUGCAAGCAUAGACCAUAAUAGAUUAACUGCUGGUCAUUAACGAAAAUGAGAAAACUGCAGCAACACAACAAGAAAACCCUGUAUAUCCUCCCCGUUAACCUAACACCAGAGCAUUCCCGGAAAGAUUAAAAGAGAGAGAAGGAACUCGGCAAAUUUUAACCCCGCCUGUUUACCAAAAACAUCGCCUCUUGAUAAUCAUAAGAGGUCUAGCCUGCCCAGUGAUAAAUUUAACGGCCGCGGUAUUCUAACCGUGCGAAGGUAGCAUAAUCACUUGUUCUUUAAAUAGGGACUUGUAUCAACGGCAUCACGAGGGUUACACUGUCUCCUCUCUCCGAUCAGUGAAACUGAUCUCCCCGUGAAGAAGCGGGGAUGAACAAAUAAGACGAGAAGACCCCAUGGAGCUUUAAAUCUCACAGCAACUCCAACACUUAUUUCCUUAUAACCUACAGAGCAGUGCAUACCGAUUUUAGGUUGGGGCGACCGCGGAGUAAAAAUUACCCUCCACGACGAAAAGAGCUAAUCUUUAUCUAAGAGUAACCACUCUAAGAAUUAGUAUACUAACGAGUAAUGACCCGACAAUCGAUCAACGGACCAAGUUACCCUGGGGAUAACAGCGCAAUCUACUUCAAGAGCCCGUAUCGACAAGUAGGCUUACGACCUCGAUGUUGGAUCAGGGUAUCCCAGUGGUGCAGCCGCUACUAAUGGUUCGU